CAGUGUCCUUCUUUUUUUAGGCUGAGUUGCUGUAAUCUGUCAGAGAAAAGCUGUAAAGCUUUGUGCUCAGUUCUCAGCUCCCAGUCCUCCAGUCUGAAAGAUCUGGACCUGAGUAACAAUGACCUGCAGGAUUCUGGAGUGAACUCGCUCUGCGCUGGACUGGAGAGUCCACACUGUACACUGGAGGUUCUCAGGCUGUCGGGCUGCCUGAUCACAAAGAAAGGCUGCACUUCGUUAGCCUCUGCUUUGAGAUCCAACCCAUCCCAUCUGAGAGAGCUGGACCUGAGCUACAAUCAUCCUGGAGACUCAGGAGUGAAGCUGCUUUCUGAUGGACUGAAUGAUCCAAGCUGGAGGUUGGAAACUCUCAGGUUAGACCAUGGUGGAUCACAGACAAUGAAACCUGGUCUGCGGAAGUGUAAGUGUUUUCUUUAUAAUUUUUUCG